UGGGAAACUGGGUCUAAUACCGGAUAUGACCAACUUGACGCAUGWUGGGUGGUGGAAAGUUUUUCGAUCGGGGAUGGGCUCGCGGCCUAUCAGCUUGUUGGUGGGGUAAUGGCCUACCAAGGCGACGACGGGUAGCCGGCCUGAGAGGGCGACCGGCCACACUGGGACUGAGACACGGCCCAGACUCCUACGGGAGGCAGCAGUGGGGAAUAUUGCACAAUGGGGGAAACCCUGAUGCAGCGACGCAGCGUGCGGGAUGACGGCCUUCGGGUUGUAAACCGCUUUCAGCAGGGAAGAAGCGAAAGUGACGGUACCUGCAGAAGAAGUACCGGCUAACUACGUGCCAGCAGCCGCGGUAAUACGUAGGGUACGAGCGUUGUCCGGAAUUAUUGGGCGUAAAGAGCUCGUAGGUGGUUGGUCACGUCUGCUGUGGAAACGCAACGCUUAACGUUGCGCGUGCAGUGGGUACGGGCUGACUAGAGUGCAGUAGGGGAGUCUGGAAUUCCUGGUGUAGCGGUGAAAUGCGCAGAUAUCAGGAGGAACACCGGUGGCGAAGGCGGGACUCUGGGCUGUAACUGACACUGAGGAGCGAAAGCAUGGGGAGCGAACAGGAUUAGAUACCCUGGUAGUCCAUGCCGUAAACGUUGGGCACUACUAGGUGUGGGGGACAUUCCACGUUCUCCGCGCCGUAGCUAACGCAUUAAGUGCCCCGCCUGGGGAGUACGGUCGCAAGGCUAAAACUCAAAGGAAUUGACGGGGGCCCGCACAAGCGGCGGAGCAUGCGGAUUAAUUCGAUGCAACGCGAAGAACCUUACCAAGGCUUGACAUACACUGGACCGUUCUGGAAACAGUUCUUCUCUUUGGAGCUGGUGUACAGGUGGUGCAUGGUUGUCGUCAGCUCGUGUCGUGAGAUGUUGGGUUAAGUCCCGCAACGAGCGCAACCCUCGUUCUAUGUUGCCAGCACGUGAUGGUGGGAACUCAUAGGAGACUGCCGGGGUCAACUCGGAGGAAGGUGGGGAUGGGCGUCGGAUCAUCAUGCCCUUUAUGUCUUGGGCUUCACGCAUGCUACAAUGGCUGGUACAGAGAGAGGCGAACCCGUGAGGGUAAGCGAAUCCCUUAAAGCCAGUCUCAGUUCGGAUCGUAGUCUGCAAUUCGACUACGUGAAGUCGGAGUCGCUAGUAAUCGCAGAUCAGCAACGCUGCGGUGAAUACGUUCCCGGGCCUUGUACAC
rnacentral:rRNA from 1 species